rnacentral:rRNA from 1 species
AUUGAACGCUGGCGGCAGGCCUAACACAUGCAAGUCGGACGGUAGCACAGAGGAGCUUGCUCCUCGGGUGACGAGUGGCGGACGGGUGAGUAAUGUCUGGGGAUCUGCCCGAUAGAGGGGGAUAACCACUGGAAACGGUGGCUAAUACCGCAUAACGUCGCAAGACCAAAGAGGGGGACAUUCGGGCCUCUCACUAUCGGAUUAACCCAGAUGGGAUUAGCUAGUAGGCGGGGUAACGGCCCACCUAGGCGACGAUCCCUAGCUGGUCUGAGAGGAUGACCAGCCACACUGGAACUGAGACACGGUCCAGACUCCUACGGGAGGCAGCAGUGGGGAAUAUUGCACAAUGGGCGCAGGCCUGAUGCAGCCAUGCCGCGUGUAUGAAGAAGGCCUUCGGGUUGUAAAGUACUUUCAGCGGGGAGGAAGGCGAUGUGGUUAAUAACCGCAUUGAUUGACGUUACCCGCAGAAGAAGCACCGGCUAACUCCGUGCCAGCAGCCGCCGUAA